CAGAGAGAGGAGCCAAGAGCACACAUAGAAAAACAUGAGGGACUGACACAGCCAGGACGCGUCCCCCAUUUACCAUGGAGAUGGGGGAGGAGCUUAGCGGGCAGUCACCUGACCUGUGGUCUGAUUGGUCAAUGACAUUCUCAGCAUGGUGGAGCAUUGGAGAAGAGAGACAACCAUGCAGGGAGCCAUACCACCGGCGAUAGCGAAUGAAGGAGCAGCACUCGCUCUCCCUGGUCCUCCCCUGAGUCCAUCGCACACUGUGUAUCCAGCUCCCCCCAGUCUGCAGCCGGACCCGGAACCACACACAGAAGGGGACGGGUGGGAGCCGAUGCCACACACUGAAGGGGACCUAUGAGAGCCGGAGCCUCGCGCUGAAGGGGACGUAUGGGAGCCAGAGCCGCAUGCUGAAGGGGACGUAUGGGAGCCAGAGCCGCUGCUGAAGGGGACGUAUGGGAGCCAGAGCUGCACGAUGAAUAUGAAAGCAGCACGGAAGGAGUGCAGGCCAGGCAGUUGAAGCUAUGGGACUUUGGAGCAGCGGGGAAUCCAAGGACAGGUGGAGCCCAAGCUGCAACAAGUGAUGAUUCUAUAUUCAACAUGAAUACCUGCAUUGUGCAUAGAGAAGACACACCAAAAACACCCAGCAGGUCAGCCUAGUUCCAGACAGUUGUCACGUUGCAUCAAGUUUGGUUACCACACAUGACUGAAAGCGACCUGCUGUAACACGAGCUUGUCUGAGACGGUGGAUGGAAAACGUGAGCACUCCUUACAUCCUGAAACUGAUAAUUACCUCUGUUCUCUACAUGCGUUUGUAGGUCAGCGUGCCCGGUGUUAUUGUAGUCUGCCAGCAGGCUAUCUGUUUCUCCAAUAAAAAGAUGAUUUAG